ACCUGGCUGGCUCAGUGGAGUGCACGACUCUUGAUCUUGUGGUUGUGAGUUCGAACCCCAUGUGGGGUA
rnacentral:tRNA from 1 species